GAUGAAGAACGCAGCGAAAUGCGAUACUUGGUGUGAAUUGCAGAAUCCCGUGAACCAUCGAGUCUUUGAACGCAAGUUGCGCCCGAAGCCAUUAGGCCGAGGGCACGCCUGCCUGGGUGUCGCACAUCGUUGCCCCAAUGCCUCAGCCCUGUUGCAAGGCAUGGCAAAGGGGCGAAUGUUGGCUUCCCGCGAGCGAUGCCCUCACGGUUGGCUGAAAAUCGAGUCCGUGGUGGAGUGUGCCGCGAUGGAUGGUGGUUGAGUGAUGAUGCUCGAGACCAAUCAUGGGUAACUCCACCAGAAUUGGGCUCGGUGACCCACAUGCGUCCCUUGGAUGCUCCCUAAGGAGACCUCAGGUCAGGCGGGGCUACCCGCUGAGUUUAAGCAUAUCAAUAAGCGGAAGA
rnacentral:misc_RNA from 1 species